rnacentral:misc_RNA from 1 species
GAUGAAGAACGCAGCGAAAUGCGAUAAGUAAUGCGAAUUGCAGAAUUUCCGUGAGUCAUCGAAUCUUUGAACGCACAUUGCGCCCACUGGUAUUCCGGUGGGCAUGCCUGUUCGAGCGUCAUAUUAACCACUCCCGCUUGCGGGGUCUUGGGCUUCGCCUCCGGGCGGGCCUUAAAAUCAGUGGCGGUGCCGUCGGGCUCUACGCGUAGUAAAUUUUCUCGCGAUAGGGUCCCGGUGGAUGCUUGCCAACAACCCCCGACUUCUUAAGGUUGACCUCGGAUCAGGUAGGGAUACCCGCUGAACUUAAGCAUAUCAAUAAGCGGAGGA